GCGCCGUCACGGUUAUGACACGUGGGGCUACGUGCGUUCCACCGCCUUCGCUUUGUCAUGCACGGAGAGUUGCAUCAGAGGGUCCCAGGACGAAAUAGGCCCGAAGGUUAAUUGGAAAGAGGCUUUGCAACGCUGUGGCCGUUGGCUGUUCGGCACCGCUGCUUCCCCGAACCAUUAAAUAGUGCAUUUACUGCAAGUCCUUAAAUUAAUCCAGACCACUUAGUGCGUGGAGUUAAAAACUGUGCUUAUCGCUAAGUUGUGUCACUCCAUUUCUCUGUAGAUACCACUGCAUUCUGGGUUUGGCUGGGAUUGAGAUAAUUUCUUCUCAGUAGCUGCUGCAUUGCUGAGUUUUGAAUUCGGAAUGAAAAUAACGUGGAUGAAACACUGAUGUUUUCGGGUUUGCUAAAUUGCAUUUGUCCCAAGUCAUGGACAGUUUUUUGGUUUGCUAUUUUUGGCAGUGAAGAGGUGCACAAAAGAGAAACUGUGAGGAAGCAUGGCCAGUACAACUGACCCGAGCUGGCCAAAGGGAUAUUCCAUACCAUAGAAUGUCAUGCCCAGGAUGUAAACUGAGGGGAGUUACCUGGAAGGGGGGCCAAUCUGGGUUUGGGAAGGGCGGUCUGGCAUCGGUCAAACUGGGUGGACCCAGAUGGUUUUGGUUGUGGAAAUGAAAUGUAAUUGCUCUUUAUCUGUCUCUGGCACAGAAGAGCUGGAGUGCUCCACAUGGUAUCUCACUGAUCAGUGAUAUCCCAUCACUGCUUGAAAGAAUCUUGCUUCAGAUAAAUAAAAAAA